AUCCCUUUGCGGUGACCAUAUAAAUGUUAAAGUACUACUAAAAAACACUUUUUAGAGGGAGUUUUAUUUAGGAGGUUUUUUUUAACCCCCACCGGUUGAUUUAAAAAGUCUCGUUUACAUUGGAUUCAAUCCAAAUAUUUGUUUAUACUAGAGGGGUUAAAAAGAAUUCCCCCAAUUUAAUGAUAUAAGUUUUCUCUCCCUUUUUUUUAAAAAGAAAAAUACUUUUUUUUUGUUCUCGUACGUUCCGUUUCCCAAAACUGUUUCCACCAUUUCAAUCUAAAUCUUGAAAACCCUAUCCACCAUACGAAAACAUCUCUAUCUCAACUCAAUAUCCUACCCAUUGAUUCUCUAUCCUUACAUUGUCUGGCUGUCUUCCCGGUUUUCUUCCAGCCGUCGGUCCAUCGGAUCUUCUCAAUACGCAGCCUCCGUCAAUUUUCACAACUCUUACUCAAGUAUCAUGGUUCAUCUUUAAGUCAUGGCUCCCUAAGAUAUUGUGACUCCUCUUUUGCACUGCUUUUCAAACAAGUUAUUAGUUCCAUACAUGUGAGUUCCUCUAUUCUCCUUUUCCUCUUACUUUGGAUGAUUUUAUUUCCAAUUUCUCUCACUACUCACAAUUUUCUUCCAGUUAUGAACUUUUACGAUCUUAAAAAACACUUUCAAUGCCCUUUUGAUGUUGGAUCUAAGAUUGCAAUGGCUUCUUUUAAUUAAUAAAAUUAUAAUUGGAAGAAAAGUAUAAAGAUCUAGGUUUAAAAGAAAAUCAAGUGCACACCGUUUUAUUUGGCUGAAAAUAUUAAUUAUUUUUAGAAAAGUACUUGUAUUAUUAUAAAUAAUCAUGUAAGUUUGAUGAUUUUAUUCACCUCUUUUUUUAUUUGUUGCCACUUAGAUAGCUUUGACCUCGUUGGAGUUGUAGAGGGAUACAAAUUUGGUCCUUAUGAAUAAUUUUGAUUUUUAACUUGAAUUUUAUAUGUGAAUAUCUAAACUUGCUUUAGCUUUCUCUUAAGCAUAACAAUAAUAUACAAAACAAAUUGCUCUUUUGAAGUUAUUCAUCUUUUUAACAAUUUCUGAUUUUUUGAACAUUUGAACAAUGUGAAAAUGGAGAUUAUAUUGUUGUUGGAUCUGUUUGGUCAAGAUGGAGAUAGGGUUUGAUGAAUAUUUGGUGAUCCAUGUGAGGCAUUUGCAAUAGAAGUUUAGAGUUGUUGGCUAAUUGUUGAUGUUAUAUCUUCAACCGGAGACAAGAUACAAAAGAAAAAGGUAGAGUUGUAAUUUGAAAAUGAAUCCUUAGUGUGGCAUUCAUAUUUUUUUUUCUUUUAUGUUUAUAAUGGCUACUUUGGAUGUUGUUAAUGCUAGUGUUUGUAUGAUUUCUUUGUACGGAGAACGAGUUCUAAUGGAUACAUUGAAUCGUCUAACUUUUCUAGCUUAGUUUCAUCUUCAAAUCACACUUCACUAAGGUUAAGAAUAGGGGUGGCAAAACGGGCCGGGGCCCGCCGGGCCGCCCGCGCACCCGCCAAAAAUUGGCGGGUUGGGUUGGGAUUUUAGGCUCGCCGCUCGCCAAAACCCGCCGCCCGCCAUACCCGCCCCACCAAAGCCCGCCGCUCGCCAAAACCCGCUCCUCCUCCAAAACUCAUUCUUUUUUUAGUUAAUUCUAGUAAUUGCAAUUCUUGAUGGUUUAUUUUAUACAUUUAUUUAUAAAUAUAUGUAAUAUUUUUUAGAGUAAAUUUGUUCAAAAAUUACUUUUAUAAAAAAUUGUUUUAAAAAAUAAGUGAAAAAUUUAAUUAAAAGGUAAAAAAACAUAUUAAUCUAUUAAAAAAAUAUAAAUAAAAAUAGGCGGGUAAGCCCGCCGCCCGCCAACCCGCCAUCUUGGCGGGGCGGGCAUGAUUUUGAUGCCCAUUUUACUAGGCGGGCAUGCCCGCCCCGCUCGUUUUUUGGCGGGCAUAAGGCGGGGCGGGCGGCGGGCGGCCCGUUUUGCCACCCCUAGUUAAGAAUAUCAUUUACUAGUUAAAGUUCAGUUGCAUCUUCGCAUAAACAAUUUAUGGGCCAUAGCAUAAGUAAUACAAAAAAGAUGGUAAGAAAAUCCCCUAUUUUAUAUGACCUCCUAGUGACUAAAAACAACACCAUGCCAAGGCUUAAGUUCUGUCUACUAUUAUUUCCUUUUAAAGGAUUUUAAAGGAAAAACAGUGAGGUAUUUUAUUUUAAAAACAUGUUAGAAAUACCAAAAGUUAAACACUUUUCUCUCUUA